rnacentral:rRNA from 1 species
CAUUCACGUAGAGAACGGUGUAGAGACUUUUGACAGAACGGUUCCAAGUCAUAGAGGAGUACAAAGCCCCCUUUACUAGUUUAGAACACUUUUAAUUUCGUAGGUCCUCGAGACUUAGAACACUUUUAGUUUCGUAGGUCCUAGAGACCUAGAACACUUUUAGUUUCGUAGGUCCUAGAGACCUAGAACACUUUUAGUUUCGUUAGUCCUAGAGACUAUUUUGUUUUGUUUUUUUAGUACGACAUUAUAAUCAUCAUAGCUAUAAGAGCUGGAGUCAAACUACCGUACCACGGUACGAGAAUGGUGUUUAGAAUUCGAUGUAAUUCAACAAUUGUAUAACACAAUAUCCGAAUAUCGAAAGAAAGACGUAUAACUGCUAAGGAACCAACCAAAAAUAUACCUAAACGAUUAAACCUCGAAAAAGUUACUAAUUCCCUGAUCUAGAUAGUCGGAUGAAGGACCGGCACCGUCGUGUCUUCCUUCUUGUCGACAGAGCUGUUUUGGGAUAAGCAACCCAAGUACGUUUGCCACUUCGCUGACCCAACGGUGGUUUAAGUAAGCUGCAGCAGAGGGAACGAAUACACACGGUGCUCACAGGUCGUGCUCGUUAUUAGCCUAAUCGCUUCCUUCGUAAGUCUGAUGAGGCGGGUCCUCCUUGUUAGCGGAAUUGGCUGUUGAGAGGUUUUAGUUUUCAUGAGGUCCUUGAUAGUGGGCAAGACAAGUGAGACUACUUUUCGUGGCUUGGCAAGGACCUGCUCAUGAUGUACGACCUAGACCUCCUCCGCGACCCGGUUCGUCCGAAGCAGUUACACACGAGGCACGACUGUCUGGGGUCCGUAUCUUGCCAGUGACGGUGACACGGGAUGACUGAGUAGUGGUACCAAGUGGUUACGUGUUAAAACACAACAUUUGUCAGUGUUUUCGAAUCAUUGAACACUCGGUAAACGUAAGUCCUUCUUUUACUAGGACGUUGAAUUGAUGUCUUUACGUUACAUGAGGGAGGCAAUCACUAGAUUUGCGAGAAUAUAAAGAAAUGCCUUCUUCGUGAUGUACGGUCGGUGGCAAACCAAGCUAGUGCUCCUUUUGUAAACUUCAGACAUUAUUCAUCUUUUUUAUUUAAAGUUGCUC